UCCCUGGUGGCUAAGUGGUAAAGAAUCUGCCUGCAAUUCAGGAGACCCAGGUUUGAUCCCUUGAUUGGGAA
rnacentral:tRNA from 1 species